AACGAACGCUGGCGGCGUGCCUAACACAUGCAAGUCGAGCGAGAAAGCCCGCAAGGGUGAGUAAAGCGGCGCACGGGUGAGUAACACGUGGGUAAUCUGCCCUGGAGCCCGGAAUAACCCGCCGAAAGGCGUGCUAAUGCCGGAUGAGACCACGGGAGCUUCGGCUUCCGCGGGAAAAGGUGGCCUCUGUACACAAGCUAUCACUCCAGGAUGAGCCCGCGGCCCAUCAGCUCGUUGGCGGGGUAACGGCCCACCAAGGCAACGACGGGUAGCUGGUCUGAGAGGACGAUCAGCCACACUGGAACUGAGACACGGUCCAGACUCCUACGGGAGGCAGCAGUGGGGAAUCUUGCGCAAUGGGCGAAAGCCUGACGCAGCAACGCCGCGUGUGUGAUGAAGGUCUUCGGAUCGUAAAGCACUGUCGCGAGGGACGAAUAAGGGUCGGGAUAAUACCCCGGUCCGAUGACGGUACCUCGAGAGGAAGCACCGGCUAACUCUGUGCCAGCCGCCGCCGUAAUAC
rnacentral:rRNA from 1 species